rnacentral:lncRNA from 1 species
CCGCGCUUUUUGCUCCCCAGCCCUAGCCCUAUAAAAAGGGUAAAAACUCCACACUCGGCGCGCCAGUCCUCCGAUAGACUGAGUCGCCCGGGUACCCGUGUUCCCAAUAAAGCCUCUUGCUGUUUACAUCCGAAUCGUGGACUCGCUGAUCCUUGGGAGGGUCUCCUCAGAUUGACUGACUGCCCACCUGGGGGGUCUUUCAUUUGGAGGUUCCACCGAGAUCAGGAGACCCCUGCCCAGGGACCACCGACCCCCGCCGGGAGCUCACUUACAGGCCCUCCAAGCAGUACAACGAGAGGUCUGGAAGCCUCUGGCCGCUGCCUAUCAGGACCAACAAGACCAGCCUGUGAUACCACACCCCUUCCGUGUCGGCGACACCGUGUGGGUACGCCGGCACCAGACUAAGAACUUGGAACCUCGCUGAAAAGGACCCUACACCGUCCUGCUGACCACCCCCACCGCUCUCAAAGUAGACGGCAUCGCUGCGUGGAUCCACGCCGCUCACGUAAAAGCGGCGACAACCCCUCCGGCCGGAACAGCAUCAGGACCGACAUGGAAGGUCCAGCGUUCUCAAAACCCCUUAAAGAUAAGAUUAACCCGUGGGCCCCUUGAUAAUACUCUUAUUAAUCCUACUCUUCAGACCCUGUAUUCUCAACCGCUUGGUCCAGUUUGUAAAAGACAGAAUUUCGGUGGUGCAGGCCCUGGUUCUGACCCAACAGUAUCACCAACUCAAAUCAAUAGGUCCAGAAGAAGUGGAAUCACGUGAAUAAAAGAUUUUAUUCAGUUUCCAGAAAGAGGGGGGAAUGAAAGACCCCACCAUAAGGCUUAGCAAGCUAGCUGCAGUAACGCCAUUUUGCAAGGCAUGAAAAAGUACCAGAGCUGGGUUCUCAAAAGUUACAAGGAAGUUCAGUUAUAGAUUAACAGUUAAAGAUCAAGGCUGAAUAGCACUGGGACAGGGGCCGAACAGGAUAUCGGUGGUCAAGCACCUGGGCCCCGGCUCAGGGCCAAGAACAGAUGGUUCUCAGAUAAAGCGGAACCAGCAACAGACACAGAAGCCCCGAUAGACGUCAGUGUUAGCAGAACUAGCUUCACUGAUUUAGAAAAAUAGAGGUGCACAGUGCUCUGGUCACUCCUUGAACCUGUGUGUCUGCCAAUGUUCUGACCAGAUAUGUGCCCAUUGCUGAACCUUCAUUAGACUCUUUCCUUGUACCCCUCCCCUACCCAUUUCUUGAAAAUAGACAUUGUUUAGAUCUAAAAAGUCCCACCUCAGUUUCCCCAAAUGACCGGGAAGUACCCCAAACCUUAUUCGAACUAACCAACCAGCUCGCUUCUCGCUUCUGUAACCGCGCUUUUUGCUCCCCAGCCCUAGCCCUAUAAAAAGGGUAAAAACUCCACACUCGGCGCGCCAGUCCUCCGAUAGACUGAGUCGCCCGGGUACCCGUGUUCCCAAUAAAGCCUCUUGCUGUUUACAUCCGAAUCGUGGACUCGCUGAUCCUUGGGAGGGUCUCCUCAGAUUGACUGACUGCCCACCUGGGGGGUCUUUCAGGUGGGGACUAGAGAAGUAUUGUCUGGAGGGAACAGUUGUCCCUAUCUCCGGUGCGGGGCCCCACCGGAGCCCAGAAACAGAUGUUCAGGGAAGGGCUAUCCAGUGGUUCUAGCGGGUGGGAGAGCUGUCUUGGUGAUGGCCUGUGUGGUCUGGUUGUCUUUAUAUCAGUGAGCCUUCACCUCUGCCUUUGGCUCCAGCUCUCUCCUCUGAAGCCCUCUUUGCCUCUUCCGUGUCCCCUCUUUGCUUUCCUUUAGCCUCUCUAACUUGUCCCUUUGUUCCCAAUGCUUUCCUGGAAACAGUGUUUUUUCUGGAACCAGGUUGGUUCUCUCUGAGCUUGGAAUGUUCUGUCUUCCUGGCAGAGUAGACCUGCAACAGUGGUGACACAAAACAGCAUCAGACACAUCCAGGGGAUAGUCUUUGCGUGAAGUGUAAAGUCAUGUCCUCCACUGAGUCUUCUUUUGGUAUUCUAAGUCUAAUGCUAAGGACCUGAUGCUUGCAGUCAUCUGGACUGGUUCCUUGUGAGGAGCAGGUGCGGCCGCUGCCCCAAGAUGGCGCCCAGGACGGCUGCCAGGUCUUAUGACCUGAGCCUGACUUCCUCAUUACCUCAGACUUAGCCACAUCCCAGCUGCCUGCACUGCGCAGACGCCAUGCCUCGUCAGCUCGCCUGAGGUGUCGUCACUUGCUGUGAACCAAUGGACUGCUGUGACGUGACUGGGGUGAUUGGGAGGAGUCAGUAGGGUAUUUAAGGCACGCCCCAGGUUGUUUGGCGGAUUUCGUUCCUGCAUUGCAAUGUGAAGUGUUCCUGAAGAAACCUGCUUGAAGAAGGACAACAUGGUGUUGCGUCUUUCCUGCUGGUUGGGGUGGAUGCGACAAGUGGUGGAACCCGAACGGAGACUUCUGCUUCACGAGAGCUCUGCGGGUCCAGAACUUCAAGAGGUCAGGGUAGUCGGCUGGAAAGCUCCCAGGUAAGUGGGACAAUUCAAGUUCUCGGUUAGAGACAAUAAGGUUCCCGGAUUAGGGACGAUUAAGAUAAAACAGUUAUGGGUAACACAACAUCAGGGCAGUCCUUCG